rnacentral:rRNA from 1 species
AUUGAACGCUGGCGGCAUGCCUUACACAUGCAAGUCGAACGGCAGCACGGGUGCUUGCACCUGGUGGCGAGUGGCGAACGGGGGAGUAAUACAUCGGAACAUGUCCUGUAGUGGGGGAUAGCCCGGCGAAAGCCGGAUUAAUACCGCAUACGAUCUACGGAUGAAAGCGGGGGACCUUCGGGCCUCGCGCUAUAGGGUUGGCCGAUGGCUGAUUAGCUAGUUGGUGGGGUAAAGGCCUACCAAGGCGACGAUCAGUAGCUGGUCUGAGAGGACGACCAGCCACACUGGGACUGAGACACGGCCCAGACUCCUACGGGAGGCAGCAGUGGGGAAUUUUGGACAAUGGGCGAAAGCCUGAUCCAGCAAUGCCGCGUGUGUGAAGAAGGCCUUCGGGUUGUAAAGCACUUUUGUCCGGAAAGAAAUCAUUGGCCAUAAUACGGUCGGGGGAUGACGGUACCGGAAGAAUAAGCACCGGCUAACUACGUG